rnacentral:lncRNA from 1 species
GGCUCAUGUGAUGGGGAGGUUGGGGUCUGGUGCUCACCGGGCAAGGAGAGCAGAGAGGAGCCAUAAGCAAAUGGAAGAGUGCAUAGGCCCAGGGCUCUGGGGACAGAGCAUCUGCAAUUUGGCAAGCCAACCAGAAAAUUACAAAGAUGGUUCAAUAUGCAGGCAGGGGCUCUGGGUGGGAGAAGGAUGGGCAAGAGUCACAGAAGCGAGGGGACACUGGGCUACUGAGAGGGGAUCUGUGACAGCCUCUGACUGGGCCAGGGCCUCUUCCCAUCAGCCUCACCCGGACAUGCAUUCCAAGGCCCCCCACGGAGCUACAGGCUGUGCCGGAGCUAGGCACUGGUGCACAUCCCGCAGCUUGUGGGGUCUCCGUGGCCUCUGGGGGAGACUUCCCCACCCUGGCUUUCCUUCUGUCCUUCUCAAGCUCUACUCAGGAUGCCCCGUCCUCAGCCUACCUGCCCGGACAGGAGGAGGUAACAGCAGCAGAGAUUCAGGGCAGACCUUGGGGAGACGCCCAUCAAAGCAGGUGAGGAUGGGGAAAAAGGACCGAGGGUGGGCCCAUCGGUCCGUUCCAGAACUCCCACUGGACCGUCAAACGGGGUUGAGCGGACAGCUGAGCCCUGGAGCCUGGGGACGAGAUGUUCCAUCCUCUGAGCAGACUGAGGCCGGAUGCACUGCUUGGAGCCGACGCCGCACCAGCUCCAGCUCCCUUCCUUGGCUGCAGGGUCUUCUUUGGAGUGAGGGUCGGCCUCUCGGCGCCUCAGGGAGCGCAGGGCCCUUCGGAGGCAAGUGGUGUGGGGGCCUCUCCCAUGUGGGGGGCUCUGUUAGACCUCCUUCCUUCCUCUUCUCGUUGGCGGCGAGGCUGGAGGGUGUGCUCUUUCCAGACCCUUCUCUCUCACGUGUCUGAACAGUCAGAGGAAGCGGCAGGGAGAGGAUGAACCAUCCGAGCCCUGAGAGCUGGUGGGAACCGUGAGAGACCAUNAUUGUAGGAGGAGGUAACAGCAGCAGAGAUUCAGGGCAGACCUUGGGGAGACGCCCAUCAAAGCAGGUGAGGAUGGGGAAAAAGGACCGAGGGUGGGCCCAUCGGUCCGUUCCAGAACUCCCACUGGACCGUCAAACGGGGUUGAGCGGACAGCUGAGCCCUGGAGCCUGGGGACGAGAUGUUCCAUCCUCUGAGCAGACUGAGGCCGGAUGCACUGCUUGGAGCCGACGCCGCACCAGCUCCAGCUCCCUUCCUUGGCUGCAGGGUCUUCUUUGGAGUGAGGGUCGGCCUCUCGGCGCCUCAGGGAGCGCAGGGCCCUUCGGAGGCAAGUGGUGUG